UCCGAAGGGGGCUAGCGUCGUUCGGAUUUACUGGGCGUAAAGCGCACGUAGGCGGAUAUUUAAGUCAGAGGUGAAAUCCCAGGGCUCAACCCUAGAACUGCCUUUGAUACUGGAUAUCUUGAGUAUGGAAGAGGUGAGUGGAAUUCCGAGUGUAGAGGUAAAAUUCGUAGAUAUUCGGAGGAACACCAGUGGCGAAGGCGGCUCACUGGUCCAUUACUGACGCUGAGGUGCGAAAGCGUGGGGAGCAAACA
rnacentral:rRNA from 1 species